rnacentral:rRNA from 1 species
UACGUAGGGGGCUAGCGUUGUCCGGAAUCAUUGGGCGUAAAGAGCGUGUAGGCGGCCCGGUAAGUCCGCUGUGAAAGUCGGGGGCUCAACCCUCGAAUGCCGGUGGAUACUGUCGGGCUAGAGUGCGGAAGAGGCGAGUGGAAUUCCUGGUGUAGCGGCGAAAUGCGCAGAUAUCAGGAGGAACACCGAUUGCGAAGGCAGCUCGCUGGGACGUCACUGACGCUGAGACGCGAAAGCGUGGGGAGCAAACAGG